rnacentral:lncRNA from 1 species
UUUUUUUUUCUUUUUUUACACUAGUUAUCAACCAAGUCAGCACUUUUCCUAUCAAAAUGAGAACUUGCUUCUCAAAAAAAAAGUUCCUUCCUCUUGCACACCAGAAGAAAAUUAAUCUAGAUAUUAAAAAUAACUUGAUUACACUCUUGAGUAAACAAGCCAAGAAAUUAAACUAUUUUGGAUUUCAUGUGGUAAUAAUCUAGAAGGAUGAAAUACCUUUGUAUGAUUACAACAGCGAUCAGAAGUACAGAUUCUAAAACAGCACUAGAGCAAGAAAUAUGUUUUGGCAUAUAGUUGGACAUACAUGUUCUUGGACACCUCUCUCUGAGGGAAUUUCCUGUAUACAUUCUUUUAUUUUACAUGCUGAAGAUAAAAUUUCCUUCUCUCUUCUGAAUCCUUGAAGUUCAAGUGACUACAAAAUACAACAAGCCUCUACGGGACAAGCCCUCGAAGGGGCACUGAAGCCUCCAGCUGACUUUUGCAUGAAGUGGGAAACUUCAUCAGCGUUUGCUACAGUUCAGAGAAGCGGCUGACGUUAUGCUUUUCCCAGCCUUGGAAAAACAUGUUCAUCAACACCUUGUCCCAGGGAAAGGGAAGAAAAGGGGGAGGGAGGGGAGCAGGAGGGGGAAGAAGGGAGAAAGUCAUGGACACUCGCUUCCCAUUAAAGAAUUUUACUUUUUUUCUUCCCCAAGGGGGAUUAUGCAUCUAUGACCCACCUCGGCAGUUAAAUCACCUUCAGCAAACCGGUUCCUCCCGACAGCCGCCGGGGAGCCCUGCUCUCGCCGGCGCCGCAGCUCCUUCCCGCACCGCCGGGCCCGCUCCGGCGCGGCAUUUUAAAGUGCGGGGCGGAGGAGCCAGUUGGGGUUAAAAAUAAGUAACUGGGAAACCGGCGGCUCCCAGCCACCGCACCCAAGACGGGAGGGUUCUCCCUUCCUGGCGGAUGUUAUGGAGCCGGGGGGCACAAAGCCGCCGGCACCGCCCGGCCGGCAGCUCAUCCCCGCCGCCGCCACCACCACCCUCACUGCGCCCGAACGCACCUCCCACAGGCGGCCGGUCCGCGGGGGACCGCGCCGCGGUACUCCACCACCGCACCCCCGACCCCAGCAUCGCGCCUCACCUGCGGGGCCGGGGCCCGGCCCGGGGCGCCGCUCCGCCGCCACCAGCAGCGCAAGGGCCAGCAGCAGCGGCAGGAGGAGGCGCGGCGACCGGGCGCCGCUCCACGCCAUCUUCCCCCUCCGCACCCGCCGGCCUGCCGCCGCUCCCCGCGCCACCACCCCUCGAGAGCGGGGGGGGAAAGGAGGCGGGAGAUGGAAACCGAGGGGGAAAACUCGGUGCCUGGGCAGCAGCCGCAAUCCUGCUGCCGCUCCUCCUCCGCGGCGGGCAGGAGC